AGGCCAUCUCUUGGCAGAGAGCGGGCGAGGCCCGUAAAAGCCACCUGAACAGAGGCUUCCCACAGGGGACAGGAGCGGAUCCACGCUGGAGCCUUUUCCCCUCCGCGGCACUUGGGUGGUGGCUGCUGUGCGCACAGGCUCCGUGUCCCCCUGAGCCUG